rnacentral:rRNA from 1 species
GGUGCAUGAGGAUUUGGCCAAUCCCCUCCACGCGCGCGCACCCAAUCCCAUCCUUGUCUCACCUCAGCCGCCUCACCUCAGCCGCCCCCGCACAAACCCUAGCCCCUUUUCUCCUCCAUUCCCACAGCCGCCGCAACCCUCCCUCUCGGUCUCCCCUCCCUCCCCACCUCCCUUGUCAGCGGUUGCCGCCACUCCACCUCCCUCUUCUCUGUCGCCGGCGGCCAGCUCAUCCGCCAUGGACGGAGGGUGUCAAUCGCAAGCAGCGCUGGCGGACGAGCACACACGCAUGUCCUCUUCCUGGUGGAAGGCAACUCGAGCAUGGGAGUGUGGCCACGGCUGGGCACCAUGGGUUGGCCGAGGUGUUUCAUGGUGAGGAACAGGUGCGCCAUUUUCCAAUCCGUCCUGCCCAGCCCGAUGCCUACCAUGAAUUCAGCACAGUUUGAAGCAUCCAAGGUAGGAAGGACCAAGAAAGCAUAGAUCUGUGAAAGAAGAGACGAAGAACAAUUUUAGCUGAAGAGUUGAAGAAGACCAAGAAUAAUAAUUCAAGUGGAUGGCCGAUGCGUCUUGUUGUUUAGCGGUAUGAUGGUCGAUGGAAGUAUGUUCUAUAUUGCAAGAUGAUUGCAGCUGAUGCCGAGCCUCUCGAGAUCUGAGGGCCGUAGUAUUCAGAAUUACCUACAGCUUGAGUAGAUACACAUUAUUCACUGCAUAUUUUAUUCCAAUGGUUUUACUUCCACACCACUGGUUUGUCUAUAUUAAAUCACAAGAACUUCAUGAGCUUAAUUGGUUACUGUGUAGAAGGGCAUUCUUUCAAGGAGCUGUAGAUUUUUUGAAUAUGCUCCCUGCUGGACCAUUUUCGGUAUGUACAGAAUUUGUUGAGAAUGGGUGUGAAAAAAUUGACCAUCCAGUGGAUUUAUACGCAUGGUAUGUACAGAAUUCUGCAACCACAAUAGAAGUAAGGCCAUGGAGCAAGAAUUCUGUUGGGCAUCCUUUGCAUUUAUCUUGUCAGGUUCCCAUGCUUCAUAGCAUGUGUGUAAGCGUAGCAGUACACACAUACACUGCAGUUCAUACUGCCAUUUAAUAGGGGAUGCAUUAGGGUACUUUAUUUCCAUUAUAAACUGAUAAUAGUUAUGAGUUUAGUAAGGUAACAAUAAUUUGGGUUAUAGCAGAAUAUAGAUGUGGUAUGCUUGUAUGAGUAGAAUGCAGAGUUUAUAAAUGAACUAAAAUCUGAGAACAGGAAGUGGUAGGUUUAAUUUCAGUUAGAAGAUUAGGUGUACUGCAGUAUCAUAUAUUCAGGUAAUCCCUUGCAUUUUUUUGCCAUGUUCAGGCUUUAUACAUCGUUUGUAUAUGCAUAAAGUACGCCACAUAAACUGGAGUUCAUAGUGUCAGGAGUAAGAGAGGUGCAACUAAGUACUAGCAUGUUACAGGAUAAGAACGACUCUUUAGUUUAACUCCAAAGAGGUUAGAUGAAAUGAGUUCUUGAUAUAUCUGAACUCUAGAUUAUAAGAUGCAUCUUCUUACUCUUCCUGAGAUCACGGUUAUCAUAACUGGACGUUCGUUUGUUUGUCGGAAGUUUUAUCUCUUCUCUACAGUCAAAGCUCAUGUGCAAUUUGGAGAAAAAUGCACACAUGCUGUCGCCGCAGUUGACGAUUCCUUUUAGGUAUCUAACCAAUAGCGGCCUAUGUUUCCUGGUCAUUUUUCUUUUGGAAAUGGAAGUUGUUGCUUCCUAGGCGAGCUGAGUGCCUGCUUUUGAUGAUAGGAAACUAACAAGGCAGAAGGCAAUGUGGUAGACGCUGUACUUGCAGGAGGUCUUUAUCGAUGUUGGUCUAGCUGUAUUGUCUAACGACACUUCAUGCGGUCCUCAUAUAAAUAACAUGGCUGAGAAAGUUCCUCCAAUGAAAGGAGGAGGAGUAUAGUCUUGGCCGUGGCUGGGAAGGAAGGAGAACAGGUCCCUGCAGUUAUUUGUCAUAUUGGAUACUUUACAAACAUUCUGUAAAUUGGUAUCAGUUGCACACUUUUUGUUUAUCUCCAUAUCUAUGAUGACUACCUACUCCAAAGCAUCCCCACGUUAAUUUGAAAUAAAAGGAGAAGACCAGAACCAUGAUUUUUAUUCAAUGGUGGUUGAUUAGUAGUGUUCCUCUCCAACCAUUGAGGCUCAGUUUCCAAGUUCUGACCUAGCAUCAAUCCAUCAUGUAAAUUCCCAGUACAUGACUUUAUCUCACUGUGGUUAAUUUAUCAAAGGAGUUGUAUGCCGUUGUUUGAAGCGGAUCAGGUGCCCGCCUCUGUCUGCGAGGCUUCCACAAGUAAUAUAGUUGCGGCCUGGCGCUGCAACAAUUUGCUACCGCGGCGCCAUUCAACUUCCUCACCAGUCGCUCCUAUGCCCACUCACAGGAAUCUCAAGACUUAGGAAUGGCGCCCCAACAAUUGUGAGCGGCACAAAGGAAGGGUCGCCAUCACCAAGGAUGUACGCUGACAAUUGUGGACUCCAAAGAGGAAGAAGUUCUAUAUUUAGUGCAUUGAGUUGCUAUUUAAAAUUCUGAGAGGUGUUGAAUUUUGUUAAUUUUUAAGAUAUUGACUUGGAAGAAUUAGUAUUUUGCUUGAUGUAAACUCAGAUUAAUUUGUCAUGUCAUUUGAACCGAGCAACCUUUUUGUGACACCACUUCAUGAUUUUUGUGUGAUAUUUUUUUUACAGGUAGAUUUUUGUGUGAUAUU